GGAAGGUAUAGCCAAAAGCUNCUUGCAUCAUUGCAAAGAUGAUGUAAGAUNGANUAUGUNGAAUAAAAUUCCUAGGUAGAAUUAUGAUAAUGACAUNGUCUGCCUAUGUGUCUUGACCAAAUUACGUGCCAGCAGUCGCGGUAAUACGUAGAAGACUAGUGUUAUUCAUGUUUAAUCGGUUUAAAGGGUACCUAGACGGUAAAUCAAGCUUUCAUAAUAAUAAAAGGACUAAUUUGCUAGAGUUACUUAUGAGGGGGUUAUAAAGUACUGGUGGUGUAGAGAUGAAAUUCUGUCAUACCUCUUUUCGAAAGAAGAAUCAUGGCACAGGUAUAGGCGAAGGCAUCCCCUUAUGUGAUAACUGACGUUGAGGGACGAAGGCUUUGUGUAGCGAACAGGAUUAGAUACCCCAAUAGUCAAAGCAGAAAAUGAUGAAUGUCAUAGAUUAGAUAUAUAAGUUUAUUCUAUAAAUGAAAGUGUAAGCAUUCCACCUCAAGAGUAAUUUGGCAACAUUGGAACUGAAAUCAUUAGACCGUUUCUGAAACCAGUAGUGAAGUAUGUUGUUUAAUUUGAUGACCCGCAAAAAACCUUACCACAAUUUGAAUAUUUAUAUUUUUUAUUGUAUUCUUGUUAAUAUUUCUUCUGGAUUCUCCGUAACAUGAAAAUUGAACAAGAAAAUUAAUAAAGAGGCAGUAAGAUAUAUUUACAAGCGUUGCACGGCUGUCUUCAGUUAAUGUCGUGAGACUUUGGUUAGUUCCAUUAAAUUAACGUAAACCCUUACUUUAUUUUUAUAUAGAGUAGUUCCCCGCUAUUUGGAUAUGAUGA
rnacentral:rRNA from 1 species